UGGGGAAUAUUGCACAAUGGGCGCAAGCCUGAUGCAGCGACGUUGCGUGGAGGAAGAAGGUCUUCGGAUUGUAAACUCCUGUUAAACGGGAAGAAAGACGUCAGGGUAAUAUCCUGACGGGAUGACGUUACCGUUAGAGAAAGUACCGGCAAACUUCGUGCCAGCAGCCGCGGUAAUACGAAGGGUACGAGCGUUAUUCGGAGUUACUGGGCGUAAAGGGCGCGUAGGCGGUUUGAUAAGUCGUCUGUUAAAUUCCACGGCAUAACUGUGGGUACGCAGAUGAGACUGUCAGGCUAGAGGGUGGAAGAGAGAAGUGGAAUUCUCGGAGUAGCGGUAAAAUGCGUAGAUCUCGAGAGGAACACCGAAGGCGAAGGCAGCUUCUUGGUCCACAACUGACGCU
rnacentral:rRNA from 1 species